UGCAGUCGAGCGGAACGAGUUAUCUGAACCUUCGGGGGACGAUAACGGCGUCGAGCGGCGGACGGGUGAGUAAUGCCUAGGAAAUUGCCCUGAUGUGGGGGAUAACCAUUGGAAACGAUGGCUAAUACCGCAUAAUGCCUACGGGCCAAAGAGGGGGACCUUCGGGCCUCUCGCGUCAGGAUAUGCCUAGGUGGGAUUAGCUAGUUGGUGAGGUAAUGGCUCACCAAGGCGACGAUCCCUAGCUGGUCUGAGAGGAUGAUCAGCCACACUGGAACUGAGACACGGUCCAGACUCCUACGGGAGGCAGCAGUGGGGAAUAUUGCACAAUGGGCGCAAGCCUGAUGCAGCCAUGCCGCGUGUGUGAAGAAGGCCUUCGGGUUGUAAAGCACUUUCAGUCGUGAGGAAGGUAGUGUAGUUAAUAGCUGCAUUACUUGACGUUAGCGACAGAAGAAGCACCGGCUAACUCCGUGCCAGCAGCCGCGGUAAUACGGAGGGUGCGAGCGUUAAUCGGAAUUACUGGGCGUAAAGCGCAUGCAGGUGGUUUGUUAAGUCAGAUGUGAAAGCCCGGGGCUCAACCUCGGAAUAGCAUUUGAAACUGGCAGACUAGAGUACUGUAGAGGGGGGUAGAAUUUCAGGUGUAGCGGUGAAAUGCGUAGAGAUCUG
rnacentral:rRNA from 1 species